UGUCCAAUGCGGGAAUCGAACCCGGGUCGUAGUGGUCGAAAACCAAACGGUUUAACCAGCCUUCCACUUUCAUUGAAAUGAACUAAAAGGAG